GAACCUGAUCAGCCAUGCCGCGUGUGUGAAGAAGGCCCUCGGGUUGUAAAGCACUUUCAGCGAGGAAGAACGCCUAGCGGUUAAUACCCGCUAGGAAAGACAUCACUCGCAGAAGAAGCACCGGCUAACUCCGUGCCAGCAGCCGCGGUAAUACGGAGGGUGCAAGCGUUAAUCGGAAUUACUGGGCGUAAAGCGCGCGUAGGUGGCUUGAUAAGCCGGUUGUGAAAGCCCCGGGCUCAACCUGGGAACGGCAUCCGGAACUGUCAAGCUAGAGUGCAGGAGAGGAAGGUAGAAUUCCCGGUGUAGCGGUGAAAUGCGUAGAGAUCGGGAGGAAUACCAGUGGCGAAGGCGGCCUUCUGGACUGACACUGACACUGAGGUGCGAAAGCGUGGGUAGCAAACAGGAUUAGAUACCCUGGUAGUCCACGCCGUAAACGAUGUCGACCAGCCGUUGGGUGCCUAGCGCACUUUGUGGCGAAGUUAACGCGAUAAGUCGACCGCCUGGGGAGUACGGCCGCAAGGUUAAAACUCA
rnacentral:rRNA from 1 species